rnacentral:lncRNA from 1 species
UUACACUCCCACAAUAUAAGCAUUUUCUUUUCUCCACAACCUUACCAGCAUCUCUUAUUUUUUUACUUUUUAAUAUAGGAAGGCUUAACUCUUAAUAUCUAAACACCGUACUUACAAAACAAAUUAGGAUUAAAAUAACUACAUCAAAAUUAUUACUAAAUCUCAGAUCUCAGCCUAAAUGUCACCUGUGCCUUCUCAGAGAGGUGAUUACUCCUGAUUACUCUUCUUUAUAAAAUUAGCACUUUCCCUCUUCCCAACCUCUAGAACCUUCUAUCAAAUCACCUGCUUAUCUUCUGUGCAGCCCACUAUGUUUUCUUGUUUAUAAUUCCUCUCCCUCCUUUAGAAUGGCAUUCUUUGAAUUAGAGGAUCUCUGUGCCUAUUUUAUUAGAAUAUCUGCAAUAUUUUUUAUAGAUCAUCAGAAAUUUAACAGAGUGGAAAACUGAAAGGUGAAGUGUUCCAAGUCAUUAAAGAUUAAAAAGUAACCAGAAUUCACGAGAAAGCAAAGUUAAGUUAUAAUGAUUUUUUAAAUGGACAUAAGGAUCAAUGGGAAAUCAAGAUAAAGCAAAGCUGAAAUUAUGGUAUUUUGAUGGACUUAGUGUCUAGUUUUAAAUGUUUUGUUUUGACUGACAGAACUGAAAUGCUAGACUGUCUGUUUCUAUAUAGGAUACCUGGCAACUGAAGUAAGACAUAUGAUAUUAAAAUAUAGCCUUUUACCCUGAAGGAUAUAACAGUUAUGUUGAGGAGAUGAAGACAUAAAAAAGAUAAGCAUGAAAUGUCUCAGCUGAGGAGUCACACAUAGGAAAACUCUCCUAAUCGCAUUUAUAACGUACUGUAGGAGAGGGCAUGCACACCUACACAGACAGCUCUCAGAGUACUUUGACAUACCUGAUCUCAUUUUUUCUACAUGCCUUCUGUUGGCCUGUGAAGUGCAAUUAAGAAGACAACUAUUCUGUAAAAGUAUGUGUAAAUACUUGGCCUCCUAAUUGCAAACAGAAUGACUUGGGUUAUGCUCAGCAUUGUUUCCUUUCAUGAGUAUGAAUAAUAAAGUGUUGAUUGUAGGUGCAUUUAAUUGUUAAAACCCUUCAGAACAGCCAUAUAGCCAUGAAAGACUUUGUUGUUUAUUUAAUAGCUUUUGGUCUAAUAAUCUCAUUGCUGGAAAAAUGUAUUCCAAGUCUGUAAUUGAGAAGAAGAAAGAUAAAGAUUCUAUACAGGAAAAUCGUUCAUUAAUGAGUUAUCUUUUUUCAAAUGUUUUAUUUUACUUUAAGUUCUGGGAUACAUGUGCAGAACGUGCAGGUUUGUUACAUAGGUAUACAUGUAAUGAGUUAUCUUUUAAAAGUGUAAUAAUCUGUGUUUUAGCCAACAGGGCAAUAAGUAAACUAUGGUAUGACAACCCUCUGAAUGCUUAUACUGCUAUUACAACCAUAAAUACUGAAUGCAGAAAAAUGCUUAGCCAAUAAAUGAAAAAUAUAUGAGGAUGUAUGCAUAUUAUUAUCAUAACUCUUUGUGUGUAUAUAGUGCAUAUUGUACAUAUGUAUAUGAUACCACACAUAGACACACACGCACACUCACACAUACGUACAAAAACCCACAGAAGAUACAGGAAAAUAAAACAGCUGCUGUUAGGAUGGCAAAUUUUUUUUAAGGUGUUAUUCUUAAUGUUCUUUUAGUGCUGUAAUGUUUUUAUUGGAAGUAAGAUUCAGGGCAGGGAAAACAGAACGAUAAAAAUUGACCACAUAUGUAUAAAAACAAGUGCCAGUAAGACAGAGUGAACUCUGGUUGUAUAGAGAAGUCAGAUAUAUGUAAAUCUUAAUAGAGCCAUUCAGUGUCAAGCGGUUAGAAGGUGUAUGUGGCAUCAGUUUAACUUCUGAUGGUGUGGUGACCUCCCAGCCUCCGAUACCCACCCUAACCUAACCUAGCACCUAGCACAAUGCUUGGCUUGUUAUUGUCAUCACUAACGGAUGGAUGGAAUCAGUGGAUGGUUUUCUAAGAACAUAAAUCCAAAUUAGAAUUUAAGAGGCCGGGUGCGGUGGCUCACGCCUGUAAUCCCAGCACUUUGGGAGGCCGAGGCAGGUGGAUCACGAGGUCAGGAGAUCGAGACCAUCCUGGCUAACAUGUUGAAACCCCAUCUCUACUAAAAAUACAUCAGUAUUCUAUUGAUGUGCCAAUCUAGGCACUUAGAUGAUAGAAUAAUAAGGUAAGAUAGGUGGGAAACACUAAUUAGAACCAGAAGCAUUUAGUUGGGUAAAUAGAAGGAAGGAAAGAACCCAGUUUGUUAGAGAACAGAGGAUCUGCAAAGCUGGGGAAGUAGCAUUCUCUUGGGUAUGAAAAUAGGAAAGGGUGGUGCACGGAUAUGAAUGAUGGCAGCUGGGAGGUGGGUAAACUGAUAAAAUCAGUGAUGAGCAAGAGUUUGCUAGAAGUUCCUGAAGCUUCUGGAGAGGUGGUCCUUGCUACUAUUAAAGGCAUUGUUCAAAGAAGGGCCAGAAAACCCUUGGAUCAGGCUUGUACUCGGAAUUGUUUUUAGAUGAGUUUCCUUGCUCAUAGGUAACAGAUCCGGAGCAGCUUUACUUCUUGCUUCUCCUCCUCUUCCUCUUCCUCCUCCUCCUAUUCCUCCACCACCAUUACCACCACCAUCAUCAUCCCUUUUAUUAUUAGCUCAUUUAAUCCUCAUAACAACUCUAUGAGGUAGGUCGUAUUUCCCUCAGUUUACAGUUUUGGAAACUGAGACACAGAGAGAUUAAGUAUUUUACCUAAAUUCACACAGCUAAUAAACAGAGAUAAAAUUUGAACCCAGAGCAUCUGGUAUGAGAGCCAGUGCUCUUCUCCACUGUUACACUGCACAGUUGCGCCUGGGUAAGCAAUGAUUAUUUCCUUAUUAAAAAUAAAGACCUAUAGCUUCUUAGCCUGUCCUUUCUCAAAAAAUUAUAUUAGGAUCUCUGGAUUGUUUUUGUAUGAUAUAUUUCAAAAAAUUUUUAACAUACAAAUAUUAGAUAUGCUCACUCUCAAAAUGCAAAUAAUAUGGAAGUAGUAUGAGAAUAAUUACCCUCAUUCCUCCCUUCUAGGGAUGACCACAGGUAAUUUUUAGUGACUAUCUUUUCAGUCCUCUCUGGUUGUGUAUAUAUUUACAUGCAUAGGAUUGCACUUCUUUUGUUAUUUUAUACAUAUAUCUUUACAUACAUAUGUAUUGUGCAUAUGGAUGUACAUGUGUUGAUGGAAUUGUGCUUCACAUGUUCUUUUGCUUUUUGUAGUCUUUGUAUCAUUGUCACUGAGGUCUGGCCAUGUUAAUGAGUUUAGGUGUAUAUCACUGGAGCUCUUUGAUUUGCCGUUGUGUAUCCCUUCCCUGACAAACUGCUGGCACAUAAUAGAUGCUCAACAAAUAUUUGUUUAAUGAAUUGUGUUGAUUCCAUUAUCUUAUGCCACAAUGUUUAAGUAGUCAUUUUUUAUUUUACUCAUUUAUUUACUUAUUUUCAGACAGGGUCUUACUAUGUCACCCAGACUGGAGCGCAGUGGCGCACUCAUGGCUCAUUGUAGCCUUGACCUCCCAGGCUCAAGUGAUCCUCCUGCCUCAGCCUCCCAAUUAGCUAGGACCACAGGUGUGCACCACCAUACUCAGCUCUUUUUAUUAUUAUUAUUAUUAUUUAUAGAGAAGGGGGCUUGCCAUGUGGCCCAGGCUUGUCUUGAACUCCUGUGCUCAAGCAAUCUGCCCACCUCAGCCUACCAAAGUGCUGGGAUAACAGGUAUGAGCCACCAUGCCUGACCAAGUAGUCAUUUUUUAAUUGAACGUUUAGUUUGUUUCCUCUUCUCCACUAGUAUAAAAAAUGCCAUUUCCUCAUUUCAGGAAGGCUGGCCAUUUUGUGAUGAGACCUUUAUAGUUUGGCAGGCUCUUGGCAGGAUGAAGAUGAAGCUGUUUUCUCUCCAUCUGGCCAGGUAUUUGCUGGCUGCCGUUGAUCAGUCCCAAUGGAGACAGUGACUCUUGGGAAAUUAUUUCCUCCUACAUUAGAGGCCAGAUUUAAACAAAUAAAGCUUGAUUUUAUGUUGGCCUGUUCUUUAGAGACUCUUUAUCUUUGGUGGGUAGAAGAGCUCCAGUUGGAUUAUUUGUCUUUUCCAUGAAUAAUGUUCGUUUAACUGAAUUAGCAGGGGAAGAGCAAUGAAAUAUUAGAAAUGCUUAUUGUACCCUUUAGAGUAGUGCUUCUUAACCUUUCUGGAAUCUCAGAGCCCUUUUAGAAUGGCUCUGGGACUAAGCUGUGGGUCCUCUGCUUAGAGAAGUGCACAUGGGUGGUCAGUGUAUCACGGCCCCUGAAGAUGAGGAGUAUGGGUUGAGGACCUCUGUACUUAGGGGAGCUGUUGCCUGUGUUUGCCUUCCCUUCCUGCAUAGUCUCUUUGCUCUUUUCCUGUGACAGUGUUUUGGUGACACUGCUCUGGAAACUUCGGUGGCUUGUUGUUGUUGUUGUUCUUGAUAUUUUUGAGGUUGGGGAUGUAUGUAAAGAAUUAACAAGUGGAUUGCAUCUUGGUAGGCAGAAAGGAAGAAUACAGCAUUUUAUUUUCUGCCAGUGUGUAUAAACAGCCCACACCAGGGACUUUUUGUAGAUACUGUUAGUCAUGUUAAGCAGAUGAACAGGGUGCAUAUAAAGUGUUUGUUGAACAUGAGAGUUGGUUGUAGGAAAAUUCCCACUGAGCCCAGUGCUGCACACAUAUUCAGCACUCGUGAACCAGGCCUUCUGCUAGAUUACAGGAAUAGAAAGAUAAUAAAUCCCAGUUUCUGCCCUUUAAGGGCUUAUGUUCUAGGAGAGGGUAAGGGUCAUGAAAUGAAAUAAAUGGAGUAGUUUUAUUAGUGAGCCUGGUUUGUUUCCAAAGGCCAGAAACUGGCUCAAGGAAAAAAGAGAAUUUUUUGGUUCAUGUAUCUGAAAAUUCCAGAAGUAGCCUUUGACUCUUUCUGUUUUCCUCUCUGUUGGCUUCAUCCUUAGGUUACAUCUUUGUGUGUGACCCACCAGCCAUCCACUUCUGGCGGCUCCAACCUCAUAUCACCCUUAACAGUCAGCAGUUCUGGCAAGACGACAUACUUCUUCCCCUAUUGUUCCAAUAGAAGUCUUGGAGUUGGGUCACAUGCCCAUUCCUAAGCCAAUCAUUGGGGCCAGGAAGAGGGCAGAUAGAAUAUGCUGAUUGGCCAGGGUGUAACAGACAGGGGAGCCAUCUGGACUGUCAUCUGGGGAGGAAUGGUUCCCCAAGGGAGAAUCAAGGUGUUGUUACCAGAAGUGGGAAUGGAUGUGGGGCAAGUAGAAACAAGGACCACUACAGCAGUAAUCUACUAAUAGAAGUUUCUGUAAGAUGUGGGUGGACAAGGAAGAGGAUGUGACGGUCACUCUAGAAAGGCUUUCUGGAGAAGGCGAUGUUUAACCAAGUUUCUAAUGAAUGAGUCAAUGAAUCAAAGACUAAAAUAGCCAUCUUUCAGGACAUAGGAUUCUUUCAUAUGAAACUUUUUAAAGUGUGAUUGUGUUAGUUUAAAUUCUGGUUUCAAUCCCAUUUUGGUAAAAUUUAAGAUUCUACAAAUUUUUUAGGUGGCAUUGGAGGUUUGAGUUUAAGUAAAUUUGAAGACUGAGAUACAAAUUUGAAAAUAAUUUUUUUUCAGAGAUGUCCAUUAUAAUGAUACUUAAUGUGGUGGGUCUAUGUAUUUGGUACAUAUUCUAAGUAGGAGGAAAAUAACCGAAGUUAUAACUGUUUCUCCUUAUCACUGAUCAUUUGUAAGGGACUAUGCUUGGUACAGUACUAUAAACCCUUGAUUUGUUGGUGGGGCAGAAUAACCAUGGUUAUAAGUAAAUAAAACUAGCAUGCUUUUGAAGAGAAUGAAAUUGCAGGAGAAGGAAAGCAUCUAUAUCUUGGAAGGUUCCAGGUGCCUAGAACUUGACAGUAGCCAUUAGGAGACUGCUACCCGGUUUCUGGUCAGAUGUGUUCUUGUCUCACUGAAGCCCUGGAUUAGCUGCUAUCUCCUCAGCUGGGGAGGCCCCAGGGUAUCACUAAUUAGCAGCGCUGCAGGAAGUUUGAGCAAGUUUAAUCAUAUCUUUAAGCGAAGUCUUCUGGUAGUGCUAGACUACUCUUUUCUGUACCUGCUGAUUUUUUUUUAGAAACGGAGGCUGAUGACACCUUUUGAGUACUUACUGUAUACCAUUCUUUCUGCCAAAAAAGUCUCGUGUAUUGUUUCUUGAUCCUAUGAAGGUAGACACAAUUAUCCCUGUUUUGCAUUUCAGGAAACCAAAAGCUUAAAGAGGCCAUACCCUCAACUUUUUCAAUUUAGCACCAAGCUAAUCUGAGAGUGCUUGAAGGCUUCUCUGAUGAGCCCAGAGAAAGACAAGAGGAAGCUGACAUUAAGGAUGAGGUUGAUUUCAUUUCCUAUGUGAUACACGGAGUUUAAGAUACAGUUGUGGGCCAGGCACGGUGGCUCACGCCUAUAAUCCCAGCAUUUUGGGAGGUCGAGGCGGGCAGAUCAGUUGAG